UACGGGGGGGGCAAGCGUUGUUCGGAAUUACUGGGCGUAAAGGGCUCGUAGGUGGCCAACUAAGUCAGACGUGAAAUCCCCCGGCUUAACCGGGGAACUGGCGUAGAUACGACCGUCCUGGAGGGGCGUAGGGGGACCUGGAACUUCCGGUGGAGCGGUGAAAUGCGUAGAUAUCGGGAAGAACACCAGUGGCGAAAGCGCUCUACUGGGCCAUAACUGACACUGAGGGACGAAAGCUAGGGGAGCGAAAGGG
rnacentral:rRNA from 1 species